UACAGAGGAUGCAAGCGUUAUCCGGAAUCACUGGGCAUAAAGCGUCUGUAGGUUGUUUAGUAAGUCUGCUGUUAAAUACUAGGGCUUAACCCUAGGCCAGCAGUGGAAACUGCUAGACUUGAGUGUGGUAGAGGUAGAGGGAAUUCCUAGUGUAGCGGUGAAAUGCGUAGAUAUUAGGAAGAACACCAAUGGCGAAAGCACUCUACUGGGCCAUAACUGACACUGAGAGACGAUAGCUAGGGGAGCAAAUGGG
rnacentral:rRNA from 1 species